CGCCUGCCCUGUGACAAUUGUUUAACGGCCGCGGUAUUUUGACCGUGCAAAGGUAGCGCAAUCACUUGUCUUUUAAAUGAAGACCUGUAUGAACGGCAUCACGAGGGCUUAACUGUCUCCUUUUUCCGGUCAAUGAAAUUGAUCUCCCCGUGCAGAAGCGGGGAUACGACCAUAAGACGAGAAGACCCUAUGAAGCUUUAGACACAAAACAGAUCUUGUUAAACAUUUCAAAUUAAAGAAAUAAACUAAAAGGGCCCUGUUUUACGUCUUUGGUUGGGGCGACCACGGGGAAACAAAAAACCCCCAUGCGGACUGAGAAUACUAUUCUUACAACCAAGAGCCACAGCUCUAAUUAACAGAACUUCUGACCUUGAGAUCCGGCAAUGCCGAUCAACGGACCGAGUUACUCUAGGGAUAACAGCGCAAUCCCCUUUUAGAGUUCAUAUCGACAAGGGGGUUUACGACCUCGAUGUUGGAUCAGGACAUCCUAAUGGUGCAGCAGCUAUUAAGGGUUCGUUUGUUCAACGAUUAAAGUCCU
rnacentral:rRNA from 1 species